CCUACGGGUGGCAGCAGUGAGGAAUAUUGGUCAAUGGGCGCAAGCCUGAACCAGCCAAGUCGCGUGAGGGAUGACGGUCCUAUGGAUUGUAAACCUCUUUUGUCGGGGAGCAAGGCCCGCCACGGGUGGCGGGAAGGAGAGUACCCGAAGAAAAAGCAUCGGCUAACUCCGUGCCAGCAGCCGCGGUAAUACGGAGGAUGCGAGCGGUAUCCGGAUUUAUUGGGUUUAAAGGGUGCGUAGGCGGAAGGUUAAGUCAGCGGUAAAAUGUCGGUGCUCAACACCGGCCUGCCGUUGAAACUGGUCUUCUUGAGUGAGCGAGAAGUAUGCGGAAUGCGUGGUGUAGCGGUGAAAUGCAUAGAGAUCACGCAGAACUCCGAUUGCGAAGGCAGCAUACCGGCGCUCAACUGACGCUGAGGCACGAAAGCGUGGGGAUCGAACAGGAUUAGAUACCCGAGUAGUC
rnacentral:rRNA from 1 species